rnacentral:rRNA from 1 species
UACGGAGGGUGCAAGCGUUAUCCGGAUUCACUGGGUUUAAAGGGUGUGUAGGCGGGCUAUUAAGUCAGUGGUGAAAUCUCCGGGCUCAACCCGGAAACUGCCAUUGAUACUAUUAGUCUUGAAUAUCGUUGAGGUAGGCGGAAUAUAUCAUGUAGCGGUGAAAUGCAUAGAUAUGAUAUAGAACACCGAUUGCGAAGGCAGCUUGCUAAACGAUGAUUGACGCUGAGGCACGAAAGCGUGGGGAUCAAACAGG